rnacentral:snoRNA from 1 species
AUGUUCAGAUUUGGGCAUUUUGUGUAGUAAUCUUUGAAUGUUUCCCACACUUCUGGUUAGUUCUCGAAGUCUCUUUGUUUAAAAAUAUAGACUUCAUUUUGGAUAU